rnacentral:rRNA from 1 species
GCUUAACGCGAAGAACCUUACCAGGUCUUGACAUCCUUAUGCCAUCCCUAGAGAUAGGGCUUUCCCUUCGGGGACAUAAGUGACAGGUGGUGCAUGGUUGUCGUCAGCUCGUGUCGUGAGAUGUUGGGUUAAGUCCCGCAACGAGCGCAACCCUUGAUCUUAGUUGCCAGCAUUAAGUUGGGCACUCUAAGGUGACUGCCGGUGACAAACCGGAGGAAGGUGGGGAUGACGUCAAAUCAUCAUGCCCCUUAUGACCUGGGCUACACACGUGCUACAAUGGAUGGUACAAAGGGCAGCGAAACCGCGAGGUUAAGCCAAUCCCAUAAAACCAUUCUCAGUUCGGAUUGCAGGCUGCAACUCGCCUGCAUGAAGCCGGAAUCGCUAGUAAUCGCGGAUCAGCAUGCCGCGGUGAAUACGUUCCCGGGUCUUGUACACACCG